rnacentral:rRNA from 1 species
GAUGAACGCUGGCGGCGUGCUUAACACAUGCAAGUCGAACGGUGAACGAGGGAGCUUGCUCCCUCCGGAUCAGUGGCGAUCGGGUGAGUAACACGUGAGCAAUCUGCCCUGGACUCUGGGAUAAGCGUUGGAAACGACGUCUAAUACCGGAUACGAGACGCGAAGGCAUCUUCAGCGCCUGGAAAGAACUUCGGUCCAGGAUGCGCUCGCGGCCUAUCCGGUAGUUGGUGCGGUCACGGCUCACCAAGCCUACGACGGGUAGCCGGCCUGAGAGUGUGACCGGCCGAACUGGGAAUGAGACUCGGCCCAGACUCCUACGGGACGCAGCAGUGGAGAAUAUUGCACACUGGGCUCAAGCCUGAUGCAGCAACGCCGCGUGAGGGACGACGGCCUUCAGGUUGUAAACCUCUUUUCGCAGGGAAGAAGCGAAAGUGACGGUACCUGCAGAAAAAGCACCGGCUAACUACGUGCCAGAAGCCGCAGUAAAAC